rnacentral:rRNA from 1 species
UACGUAGGCAGCGAGCGUUGUUCGGAAUUACUGGGCGUAAAGAGUGUGUAGGCGGUGCUCUAAGUUCGGUGUGAAAUCUCCCGGCUCAACUGGGAGGGUGCGCCGAAUACUGAAUGACUAGAGUGCGGGAGAGGAAAGUGGAAUUCCUGGUGUAGCGGUGAAAUGCGUAGAUAUCAGGAGGAACACCGGUGGUGUAGACGGCUUUCUGGACCGUAACUGACGCUGAGACACGAAAGCGUGGGUAACAAACAGG